UGGGGAAUAUUGCACAAUGGGCGCAAGCCUGAUGCAGCCAUGCCGCGUGUGUGAAGAAGGCCUUCGGGUUGUAAAGCACUUUCAGCGAGGAGGAAGGUGGUGAACUUAAUACGUUCAUCAAUUGACGUUACUCGCAGAAGAAGCACCGGCUAACUCCGUGCCAGCAGCCGCGGUAAUACGGAGGGUGCAAGCGUUAAUCGGAAUUACUGGGCGUAAAAGCGCACGCAGGCGGUUUGUUAAGUCAGAUGUGAAAUCCCCGGGCUCAACCUGGGAACUGCAUUUGAAACUGGCAAGCUAGAGUCUCGUAGAGGGGGGUAGAAUUCCAGGUGUAGCGGUGAAAUGCGUAGAGAUCUGGAAGGAAUACCGGUGGCGAAGGCGGCCCCCUGGACG
rnacentral:rRNA from 1 species